UACGGGGGGGGUAAGCGUUGUUCGGAAUUACUGGGCGUAAAGGGCUCGUAGGCGGCCAACUAAGUCAUACGUGAAAUCCCUCAGCUUAACUGGGGAACUGCGUGUGAUACUGGAUAGCUAGAGUUCGGCAGAGGGAAGCGGAAUUUCGGGUGUAGCGGUGAAAUGCGUAGAUAUCCGAAGGAACAUCAGUGGCGAAAGCGGCUUCCUGGACCAGAACUGACGAUCAGGCACGAAAGCGUGGGGAGCAAACAGG
rnacentral:rRNA from 1 species